AAGAGAAAGGAACAUACAAUCUGAACAGGUAUGACAAUCUUGCAUGAAUAUUUAUUUUAUGACUUCUCAAAGGCCUCGUGGUUUUACAGCUUUCUGAUAUCUCAACAUUCGGCAGUUUCGAUGCAAAUAGUCUCCAAAGCUUUUGGGAUCAGAUUUAUUGGGGGGGGUCUGUUGUUAAGCUCUGCAAACAGGUUUGUGAAUUAGUAGCCUCGGCUACAACUCCAGGACCAAGCAGCCAUUGUUCAAUAAAGCACCCAGUCCUGGUGGUUUUCAAUAGGCUGGUUACAGGUGUUAAGACCAGUAGAAAAAGUGACAAAGCUCUCCUAUCUUACAUGCUCUUUACUUGUGCUGCUGUUGCAGGUGUGGGGUGAAGCAUGAAGGGAGAGUCUGCUGUUGCAGGUGUGGGGUGAAGCAUGAAGGGAGAGUCUGCUGUUGCAGGUGUGGGGUGAAGCAUGAAGGGAGAGUCUGCUGUUGCAGGUGUGGGGUGAAGCAUGAAGGGGGAGUCUGCUGUUGCAGGUGUGGGGUGAAGCAUGAAGGGAGAGUCUGCUGUUGCAGGUGUGGGGUGAAGCAUGAAGGGAGAGUCUGCUGUUGCAGGUGUGGGGUGAAGCAUGAAGGGGGAGUCUGCUGUUCCAUUUCCUUAUGUUCCUUGUGUUACGGGUUAUUAUUGAGAGCACAAGAGGGUAUACUGCAUUUUGAUUCAGGUGAUUGCUCAGUGCAAACGCCAAAACGGAGAAAUAACUACAGGUUUGUGUUAACCAUUACAUAAUUAGCGUGUACUUUGAGUCUCAUAAAAUGACAUUUCGUGAGAUAAGGUAGUUUCGUUAAAACAGUACCUCAAACAGUCUCUGUUUUGGUUUUAAAUGUACAUCUGCAUAUGUCUCUACAAGCAUUGGGCACCUAGACCUACCUAACCUGAUAUCGGCCGUACAU